CCAAGCACAACAACUUUACCACCAAAUGGUUGAGCAUAAUCAUUUAUAUAUUUUAACAUUAAGUCCAAAGCUUCUAUUGAUUGAUGAUGAGACAUUGGAGCUUCAUCCCAUAUUAUCAAUUUUGCGCAUUGUAGUAAUUUGGCUAAUCCAGAUUGUUUGCUAACUGUGCAUGUAGUAUCCACUACAACAUUUUUGAGCAUAUAUUACGGUAAAUAAAUAACAUAUAUUCAAAAUGUUAUCAAUAAAAUAAGUAACACAGUCCCAUACAAAAAAAACACGGUUCCAUAUAUAAAAAACAAAGGAAAUAACACGGAAUAAAAAUAAAUAAAAAGAAAAAAGCUACGCGCUAAAAUGAAGCGCCAAAUGAAACUUAAUACACGAAAAUUAAAAUGAAAAAUGAAAAGGCAAAUAAACACAUCCCCAUCCCGUAAUCAUCUGAAUCCCUAAUCCUCAUCUACCUGAACUAGUCCCAGCUGCCUCCUCUGCCCAUCCCGUAAGUCUCUCAUCUCCAUUCCUGAAUCGCUGGAGCAGGAACCCAAAAGCAGCUCCUUCUCCCACAAGCGAGUCUUGCCUGCUCCCUCAAGCUGUUAUCUCUCCUGCUGGAGCAAGAACCCAGGCAUCUCCCUCACGAGUCGUGCGCUUGCUAUCUCUCCUGCUGGAAGCAAGAACCCAGGCCAGAGUAUUCGUAACUGUGAGAAAUUCAGAAAAGAAGACAACCAACUUUAGGGAACUGAGGCAUUUAUAAAGGGAUCUCAUAUUUUCAUCUCAGCUAGGUUUGGUUCAUUUGGCUAUUUUUUCACUUUCAAGUGGCUUCAUUGGAUUUCACAUUGGAAGCUUUAUUUACAACAGUUGGCAAGAGAGUGUCAAGAAUUGCAUAUUUGGCUCCAAAUGCAAAAUAUUAAAUUGGAUUGGAUCAGAUCUGGAGAAAUUAUUGCAUAAUGCUAUUUUAUUUCAAGUGAACCAAAGGAUGAGGUUCACCAUGUUCCUCUUGGGCCUAGUGCUAUGAAAGUGGGGAUAGAUCUUGUGAGAAAGAAUGAUGCAUUUCUGUGGAGGCCUUCAAUAGUUAGUCUACUAUAGAAUAUGCUAUAGCUAAGCAAACAGACUCACAACAAAGGCAAGUGCACAAAUGAUGAUGAAUUGAAGGAUGGAGCAAGUUUCAUGCAUGGUUUACUUUUGUGGAUCUUGUAAUGUUUAUGUUUUUCAUUUUUGAAGUAAAAAAUGUUCAAGAUUAUAAAACUUUAUUAUGUUAUGUUUUCAAACAUAAGUUAGAAAUAAAUUUCUCAUGAAGUAGACACAUUCAUGGUUUGAAUUAGUUAUUGUUUAAUGUAAUACUUAAGGUUUAUCAAUCUAUUGAGAAUUACAU